rnacentral:rRNA from 1 species
UGAGUAACCUGCCCUUCACUCUGGGAUAACUCCGGGAAACCGGGGCUAAUACUGGAUACGACCUACUCGGGCAUCCGAUGUGGGUGGAAAGAUUUAUCGGUGAGGGAUGGACUCGCGGCCUAUCAGCUUGUUGGUGAGGUAAUGGCUCACCAAGGCGACGACGGGUAGCCGGCCUGAGAGGGCGAUCGGCCACACUGGGACUGAGACACGGCCCAGACUCCGUACGGGGGGCA